UACGUAGGGUGCGAGCGUUGUCCGGAAUUACUGGGCGUAAAGAGCUCGUAGGUGGUUUGUCGCGUUGUUCGUGAAAACUCACAGCUUAACUGUGGGCGUGCGGGCGAUACGGGCAGACUGGAGUACUGCAGGGGAGACUGGAAUUCCUGGUGUAGCGGUGAAAUGCGCAGAUAUCAGGAGGAACACCGGUGGCGAAGGCGGGUCUCUGGGCAGUAACUGACGCUGAGGAGCGAAAGCGUGGGUAGCAAAGCAGG
rnacentral:rRNA from 1 species